GACGAACGCUGGCGGCGAGCCUAAUACAUGCAAGUAGAACGCUGAAGGAGGAGCUUGCUUCUCUGGAUGAGUUGCGAACGGGUGAGUAACGCGUAGGUAACCUGCCUGGUAGCGGGGGAUAACUAUUGGAAACGAUAGCUAAUACCGCAUAAUAGUAGAUGUUGCAUGAUAUUUGCUUAAAAGGUGCAAUUGCAUCACUACCAGAUGGACCUGCGUUGUAUUAGCUAGUUGGUGGGGUAACGGCUCACCAAGGCGACGAUACAUAGCCGACCUGAGAGGGUGAUCGGCCACACUGGGACUGAGACACGGCCCAGACUCCUACGGGAGGCAGCAGUAGGGAAUCUUCGGCAAUGGACGGAAGUCUGACCGAGCAACGCCGCGUGAGUGAAGAAGGUUUUCGGAUCGUAAAGCUCUGUUGUAAGAGAAGAACGAGUGUGAGAGUGGAAAGUUCACACUGUGACGGUAUCUUACCAGAAAGGGACGGCUAACUACGUG
rnacentral:rRNA from 1 species